rnacentral:lncRNA from 1 species
UUCCUUGUUCCUAACCACCCUACCAUUCUCUAUCUUCUUUUUUCUGAUUUUUUGGUGUUUGUUUUUUCUUUAUUUGUUUGCAUUGGUUGGUUUUAAACUACUACUAGUUCCACAAGAAAACAGAUAAAAAUCCAAUCUUUACUAUUUUUUUCUGUCAAAUUUCUGGAUUUUGUCUACUUGGGUGAAGUGGGGAGGGCGUUAAUCCACCUGGGGUUUCUUUAUUUUCCUGGAAAGAAUGGGUUUUGUAUAAUUUCUAGAGUUGAGUGGCAGUCAUGGAUCUGGAGGGUGUGAUCCGCAGCCAUCCAAUCAAGGUAAUACGUGUGGCAGAGUGUAGCAGUGUGAGUAUUUCACUACCCCAUUUCAAAUUCUCAGCUUUUCUGAUAAUCGCUUCUUGUGCUUCUGCUUUUGUUUAAUUGUUGCAGAAAGAUUCAUGGAUGACGGUGUUAACUCUGGCUUACCAGAGCCUGGGAGUAGUCUAUGGAGAUUUAAGCACGUCUCCUCUCUAUGUCUACAAAAGCACUUUUGCAGAAGACAUUCACCACUCAGAAACCAAUGAGGAGAUUUUUGGGGUUCUCUCGUUUGUGUUCUGGACGCUGACGCUGAUUCCAUUAGUGAAAUAUGUGUUUAUUGUGCUUAGAGCCGACGACAAUGGCGAAGGUGGGACUUUUGCUCUGUAUUCUCUGCUUUCCCGGCACGCCCGGGUGAGCUCCUUGCCCAAUUGCCAGCUGGCGGAUGAGGAGCUGUCGGAGUACACAAAAGAUGGGGUUGUUCCGACAGCGAACAGCGCUUUCGGGUCGAGUUUGAAAUCGACAUUGGAGAAGCAUAAGGCGCUGCAAAAGGUGCUGCUUGUUCUGGCUUUGAUUGGAACUUGUAUGGUUAUUGGUGAUGGGGUGCUCACACCAGCAAUUUCUGGUACUUUUGAGGUUAUAUACAUGAUGAUAUUAGUUUUUGGGUUUUAAAGUUAUGGAAAUUGGGAUUUGAAUGAUGAGAAUUUGCUUCUUGUGGGUGCAGUGUUUUCCGCUGUUUCGGGAUUGGAGCUCUCCAUGUCGAAAGAGCAGCAUCGUUGUAAGUUAUUCGUCGUUGGAGCUUUUAAUUUGAUCCUGCAAAUCAUUUACAUUGUUUUAGGAGAAGAUUGAGUUUAAGGGAUUUUGGUUAUGUGGUUGACGUUCUCUGCAAUUUUCCUUAUCUGGAUAGAAUAUAACUUUCCAAUUCUAAUUUAGGAGCAGCUAAUAGAAAUGUUGGAUAUUAAAAUAUGCACAGCGGAAACAUAACUUCAUGAUCGAUACAGAAUAACUUAGAAAAUGAUGUUGUUGAGUAGUUAAUCCGGAUUAGGACCGCUAACACGGCUAAGAGAAUUCUAAAAAGUGAAGCUGCUUAGUGAUAAGAUGCUUUGGCUUAUUGGUUCACAGAAUUUCUUUGCAUCUGUACUGAGUAUAUCUGCAAAGAGACUUUUAACAUGUGCAAAUCAUGGUUUGGAAUCUAAAUCUUACUAUUUGCAUUACUAAUCCAAAAUCGUGGUUGCUCUAGAUUUCAGAAGCUUUCUCUUGGUUUAUAUUGCGUAGACGCGAAGUUAGUGACAAGCAGGCAAUACCAAACUUUAGAAAAAUGAAAACAUUAUCGCGGGGACCCCUACAAAAAUCAAGACAAACUAGCCUGCGUUAAGUAAAGUCAGAUCACCAUCAAGCUAAUAAAAAAUAAUUUGAAUGUUUAGUGCAACACCCGGUUAGUUUUGUCUGUUCCUUUUUCAGUCAACAUUUGAUUAAACUUGUUUGUAGGAAACAAAGUUUAAUUUUGAUGAGAGUAAAAAGUCUUGUCUUUUAUAAAGUUAAAAAGAUGUAAUGUAGCUAUAUAAGAUGAAGAAGUAAGGUGAUUAAUUUAGGAUGACUUUUCGAUUAGAUUAUAAAUUAUGAACUGAGUCCUCUGAUCAGGCAUGCAUAACUAUGACUUUGUUAUCGAGCCUUGACCCACUUGCUGCUGGCUAAAACAUUUGAUUAACCAGAAUGAAGUCACCAUCUUAUCAUUAUAUUUUCAAGUGCCUCUACUGUUCUAGUUAAAUUAUCACCUUAUACUAGUCACACUGUACAUUUGUGUGUUUUUCUAACAAUUAGCAUUGUUUAACCUCUUGUCGGUGAUCCUGCCAACUUUAAUUCUCUGGUGCUUGCUAACAGAAAAUUGUCAAUUGGACUUUGAGUAGCCAUUUAAUCAAAUAGUGUAGCCUUAGCUUGGAAUGCUUGAAACAGCAAUUCAAAGCUCAAAGCUGAUGAUGUAUCUCCCUUUUAGCGUAUUCAUGUUAAGAUAUAAUACAACAAGAAUUUACUAUUCUCGUUCUUUUUCCUGCUUCAUAUCUUCAUGCUGCUUUAUGCACAUUCCUACUAUCUCGAUUAGCAACCAUAUGGUUUACCUACAUAUUGGUUAUCAUUUAUCAGCUUAUUGUAUUUCCUUAUUGUAUCUUGCUUCUGCAGAUGUUGAAGUCCCUGUUGCUUGUGUCAUCCUCAUAUUUCUGUUUGCCCUUCAACAUUACGGGACUCACCGAGUAGGGUUCUUGUUUGCACCAGUUGUGAUCACAUGGCUUUUGUGCAUCAGUUCCAUUGGUGUAUACAACAUCAUUUACUGGAAUCCCCAUGUUUAUCAGGCACUCUCUCCAUACUACAUGUACAAAUUUUUUAAGAAGACUCGAAAAGGAGGUUGGAUGUCCUUGGGCGGUAUACUGUUGUGCAUGACAGGUACAAGAGUAUGUUAGUGAAUCAUCUUUUCAUGGAUGCUUAUUGUUACCUUCUCUGACAUUAUCUUGUAUCUUUGAAGGCUCGGAAGCUAUGUUUGCUGAUCUUGGACACUUUUCACAGACGUCAAUCAAGGUAUCCAAACUGAAUAACAUUGGUCGAAUAGAGAUUUUCAUCUCUACUAAGUAAUCUGUCACAUUCACCUUGCAGAUUGCUUUCACGUUUGUGGUUUACCCGUCCUUGAUUCUAGCAUACAUGGGACAAGCUGCAUACCUUUCUAAGCAUCAUAUCAUAGAAAGUGAUUAUCGAAUUGGAUUCUAUGAAUCAGUUCCCGGUAGGUGUCUAGCCAUACUUGUAGCAGUUAUAACUGUAAAAUUUGAGAUUAAGCUAAUUAGGAUUCUCUCCUUGUCUCAGAGAAAUUAAGAUGGCCCGUCUUGGCAAUAGCCAUACUUGCUGCAGUGGUGGGAAGUCAAGCAAUCAUAACUGGAACUUUCUCGAUAAUCAAACAAUGUUCUGCUUUGGGUUGCUUUCCAAGGGUCAAGAUUGUCCACACAUCUUCGAAAAUACACGGUCAAAUUUACAUCCCUGAGAUUAACUGGACUUUGAUGUUUCUAUGCUUGGCUGUUACCAUUGGUUUUAGAGACACAAAGCCAUGGGAAAUGCAUCAGGUACCGUCCACUUCAACCUAAUAGUUUGGCUCGUGCGUGUGCGUGUUAGCUUUUGUAUAAUGUAUUUAUGUCUUACCUUCAUAUAGGUUUGGCCGUUAUAACUGUCAUGCUGGUAACUACCUGCCUUAUGUCUCUAGUCAUAGUCUUGUGCUGGCACAAAAGCCUCUUCUGGGGCAAUUUGCUUUAUAUUAUUCUUCGGCUCCCUUGAGGCACUCUACUUCUCAGCAUCUCUCAUGAAGUUUCGUGAAGGGGCUUGGGUCCCGAUUGCUCUUUCAUUCAUCUUCUUAAUGGUUAUGUAUGUUUGGCACUACGGCACCUUCAAGAAAUACGAGUUUGACGUCCAAAAUAAAGUCUCCAUCAACUGGCUCCUCAGUUUGGGUCCUACUCUAGGGAUUGUUCGAGUCCGGGGGAUUGGCCUUAUACACACUGAGCUCGUCUCUGGGAUCCCGGCUAUUUUCUCUCACUUUGUUACCAACCUCCCUGCUUUCCAUCAGGUUGUAGUUUUCCUCUGCAUCAAAUCCGUCCCAGUCCCACAUGUCAGACCCGAGGAAAGAUUCUUAGUGGGAAGAGUUGGUCCAAAGGAAUACCGGCUAUAUAGAUGCAUAGCACGCUAUGGUUACCGUGAUGUUCACAAGGAUGACAUGGAAUUCGAAAGAGAUCUGAUUUGUAGUAUUGCAGAGUUCAUUCGGUCAGAGAGACCAGAAUGCAAUCUGAGUCUAGUAAAAUUGGAAGAUGAUGAGAAAAUGACAGUUGUUGGGACUUCAUCAUCAAAUUUAGACGGCAUAAGAAUGUCUGUAGCUGAACCGGAUUCCUCCGAAAUAGCAAGCACCUCAGAGUUGCAGGAGAUAGGGCCUACCGAAAAGGCAAAGAAGAGAGUGAAGUUCGUUGUUCCAGAAACCCCACGAAUCGACAGGGAAGCAGUAGGGGAGCUGCAGGAACUGAUGGAAGCAAGGGAGGCAGGAAUGGCAUUUAUAUUAGGCCACUCUUACGUGAAGGCGAAGAGAGGAUCAAGUUUUAUGAAGAAAAUAGUGAUCAAUUUCGGGUACGAUUUCUUAAGGAGGAAUUUUCGAGGGCCGAGUUAUGCUUUGAGCAUUCCUCAUGUAUCUACUCUGGAGGUUGGGAUGGUCUACCACGUAUAAUUCUGUGUAUACGGUACAACUUUGUAAUCAAAUGUUUUUCUUUGGGUUUGUUUUAUUUUUCUUGAUAUUGUUGCUGUUGCGGUCAUAUUUUAUGCUGCCCUUUGCACUGUACAAACUUGUAGAGUUCUUAGGCAAUAAUGCAAAGUGCUUCUGGUGGUACUGACUUCUGAGCAUGCUUUUCUCAGCAGUACACAUAUGCCAACAUCAAUAAGAGAGUUGGGCCAAGUUUUCGGCUUUUUAGUUGGGUUCAGUUUGUAAAGGUUUUAGCACAUUGUUCUAAAUCAAAUUCAUUAAUUUUUUUUUGAGCGAUAUUCUAAAAUGGGAAACUACUUUCAUCAUUAGAUACUAGAAAGAUCAAAUUGCAAAUAGGGUAGUGUUAUCUACACUUAUUUUUACACACACCUUUCAAUUUAUGGCCAUUCAUCGGAUUUGAAGAUCUUGCUAAAAACUGACAAGGAUGUGUGAGAGGUAAAAAUAAGUGCGUGAAUAACAAUAUCCUUGCAAAAAUAAAUAUGAUGAUGAUGGAAUGGGAGUCUUUGCUAAAUCAGAUGGACCACAAUCGUGAAUGUUGAAAGCCGUACUCCAAAAGAAACCUCAUAAGGACAUGAAAGAGGCUUACCUGCACCGAGAUGUCAGGAGGAUAUUUAAAGUCAGUUAUAUUAUGUGUUUUAACUUACUAGCACAAUAGUACGUGAUCGAGUUUCAAUUACCGCUGCAAUGACAUUUUGUUUCACUUAAGAGACGGAAGAGAGAAAAAAUAUGAUUUUGUUGACCAUUGAAAGAAAAACAAAGAUUCAAAGAAGGUUAAAAAAACAUUCUCACGACUACUUUGGUUUGUUAGCAUAUGACACAUGAGAUCUGAGCACAUGUGAGAUGAGGGAGAAGAAACAAAAAGACAACAUUAAACAGAAGCAUCAAUGAAGAACAAAUAAUUGAAGUUGGAGAGUUGUAAGUUGUUUUCUUGUACAAGUUUCGUCACUCCAAUUUCUGUGGAUGCUCCAACACUGCACAAUAUCAGCUGAUGAUCCCAAGAACAACCACACCCUUACAACAAAAUGACACUAUUGCCCCUAGACGCUAGAACGGGGGGUACUCUAAUCUAAUCACGCAAUGCCAUGUAAAAAAACUCAAGAAUAUGAUAAUGCAUUAUUAACUAGAGAUGCCGUCAAAGGAAAUAAGUUUCUCUCUUAAAGAAGUGAGCACCCACUGUAAUUAAUUAACAACGGAUUGGUUAGCACAAAUUUAAGACUCAAAAAGGUGAAGACAGAGGAUAUGAUUCCCUCUCUUGCUUUCAUUGCACUAGCAGUGAGACCUCUCUCUCUCUCUCACUCUCUCUCUCUCUCUCUCUCUCCCCUUUGCCUUUACCUUUUCCUUUCCUUAACACUGAACUCCAUUGUGUUCAAUGUUCAGUAUCACCAAACCUUCCAAAUUCACUAUACCCACUUUGUCUCUUUUACCUCCUUUCCUCUCUCCUCUCUCUCUCUCUCUCUCUAGAAAGAUUCAUUCUUACUGAGUAAUUUGUAGAAAAAGUGGCAGAACACUGUCUGUGGGGUCUCCUACUUAAGCGGGGUUACUACAAGCUCAGAGCUUGUGAGUGAGUGAGUAUUCUUCUGCUCUUAGAGCUCUGAUCAACAAAACCAACAUCAAUGGUGAGGAAUUGGGUUGCAUUGCUUCUGAUUUUUCUUCUUCUCUCUGGGGAUUUCUCAUCAGGAGUAGCUGCCUCACCUCCUGCAAGUGAGUGAAGUUUCCAUCUUUAUCCCCCAUUCUGCUUCAAAUUUGGCUUUGCCUCAAUUGGUAAUCUUGUAAUUUCACAUAUAUGUAUGUGUAUGUAUAUGCAGAAAUUGUAACUGGGAUUGUCUCCAAUGUGGUUUCUGCUCUUGUCAAAUGGCUCUGGUCAUUGAAUCCACCACAAAAACCAGUUCAGGUAUUUUUCCCAACUCAGAUUUACCAAUUUUUCGUAUUUUUAUGGUUGUUGAUGUGGUAAUUAGAGAGUGUUUCUCUGGUUGUUAGUUUGGUAAUUAGCUAGUGUUCUUUGAAAUGGUGAGGUUUAUGAGGUUGAUGGGGUUCAAUUUUUCAGCUGUUCCCAGCCGUUCGAUGAUGAAAUUUGAGGGUGGAUACACCGUGGAUACGGUGUUUGAUGGAAGCAAGCUCGGAAUUGAACCACACUCAGUUGAAGUGUCCCCAAGUGGAGAGCUUCUGGUUUUGGACUCCGAAAAUAGUAACAUCUACAAGAUCUCAAUGCCACUGUCUCGAUGUAAGCCGCUUUCGCUGCCUUAUUUCUCGAAUUAUACCAUCAUAUCACUGCUCUUGUUGCUUGUUUUGUUAACAUAUAUCCAGGGACUCAAUUCUAGUUCACCCUAAACUAAUCUAAAUUGCGGGAGGGAGAUUCAAACUCGGGUGCAUACUAGGCAAUGUGGCUUCGCCCACGUCAGUUCGCCCUAACAGUUAAAACUUUGUAUUCGGGUUGAUGCGCAAGACAUUAGCAUUGUUUCUCUGGUUCCUUUCUUUUCUUCUACUCUUGCCAAAUUCCAUUCAUUUAUAAAAGUACUGUUGCUGCUUUUAUGUGCUUUUGUUUAGUGGAAGACUCUACUUUCUGGAUAAUCAAGUGCUAUCUUUUUGGAGAUUUACUUUCUUUUUCUUUUGGUUUGUGACCAGGAUUCUCUAAUGACCAGUUUAACUUCUUGUUUACUCAUCUUAAACUUCUUUUUUUAACCUAAGCCAGAUUUAACUACUUUGUGUACUUUAACGUGGGAAACUUGGGUUUGUUAUACUUCAUGUUAUACCUUUAAGCUCCUUCAAAAUAAAAUCUUUGUCAUUUAUCGGUUAAUGAUUCGCGAUUUCACUUUUUUCUUUCGUAAUUUCAGCUUUAUUUGCAUUCGAGUAUAAUCAAUCAUCAAAACCAUCUAAAGAAAGAGACGAUAAACUUUGAGAUUUACUUUAUUUAUUAUCAAUGAAAUAUGCAAAUAUAGUCUUCAAACUAUCACUUUCGUUAUAGAAAUAAUUUCAGUACAGUUCCUAGUUUAAUGCUUGCUUGCUAUCUGUUUUAUUUAUUUUGGUAGAACCUAUCAUUCUUUCAUAUGCUGAAUGAAUGAUGGUUUGCAGAUAGCCGACCCAAGCUGAUUUCUGGAUCACCUGAGGGGUACUCUGGGCAUGUGGACGGGAGGCCAAGAGAAGCAAGAAUGAACCACCCGAAAGGGCUAACUGUGGAUGAUAGAGGAAAUAUUUAUAUCGCAGACACAAUGAAUAUGGCUAUCAGGAAGAUAAGUGAUGCCGGUAAGUCUUUGGAUGUUUAAGGCAUCAUAGAGGUUAAGGAAUCACCACUUUCUUCUGUAAUUGUUGUGUCAAAUGUAGUGGCACAAAACACUUAUUUCACCUUUGUAUAGGGGUUACGACUAUUGCUGGUGGACAAUGGAGCAGAGGAGGUGGUCAUGUUGAUGGUCCAAGUGAAGACGCAAAGUUUUCUACUGAUUUUGAUGUGGUAUACGUAGGCAGCAGCUGCUCUCUUUUGGUUAUAGACAGAGGAAACCAGGCGAUUCGGGAGAUCCAACUCCAUUAUGAUGACUGUAAUGACCGCUACGAUGGAACUUUCGGUUUAGGUAUAUAACUAAAACAGUUUGGACUUUCAACACUGUAAUUUGCUUUUAGGUGAUGCUGAUCUUUAAAAUCUGUUCUCCAUCAUUGCAGGAAUAGCAAUGCUGAUUGCAGCUGCAUUCUUCGGUUACAUGUUGGCAUUGCUGCAGCGUAGGGUGCAAUCAAUGUUUUCGUCAAAUGAUGCAAGUUAUUUACAUGACCAAAGAACUCCUAUACAUAGGGCUGCAACAGUAGCACCAUAUCAGAUGACUCCGAAAUCCGCCAGGCCGCCUUUAAUUCCCAAUGAAGAUGAACCCGAGAAACUAGAUGACAGCUUCUUUGGUUCACUAGGAAAGAUUGUUCUCAACACUGGCUCGUCUGUGGCUGAAAUCUUUGGGGGAGUAUUUACGGGCUUUAGAAGUAAGCCCCGACAAUAUCACAUACAGCAGCAGUAUCAUCAAGCUAAUGAACAUUCAAAUGCUUGGCCCUUGCAAGACAGCUAUGUUAUUCCAGACGAAGACGAGCCUCCAUCAAUAGAAACCAGAUCCCCAACCCCGAAUAAAACCUAUCCUUACAUGACCAAAGACCUAGAGAAGUCUCACCAUUCGAAGCAAAGUCAAGCCUACUAUAAUUCAUGGGAGGGUGAACAUCAGCAACAACAACAACAACAGCAACAACUUCAGAUGCAGCUGCAGCAGCAGCAACGACACCAUAUGCAGAUGCAGCAGCAUCAGCAACAGCAGCAGCAGCAGCAACGACACCAUAUGCAGAUGCAAAUGCAGAUGCAGCAGCAUCAGCAACAGCAGCAGCAUCACAGGCAUUACUCAACAAACCCAAAUACAUACUACGAGAAGAGCAGCGAGACAAAUGAGAUUGUGUUUGGGGCGGUUCAAGAACAUGAUGGACGCCGUGAAGCAGUGGUGAUAAAGUCAGUAGACUAUGGAGAUUCUAGGUAUAACCACCACAACAUUCGACAGCGUUUCAAUUAUGUGGGUUAUAAUUCCUCUGGUUACUGAUUAUCCCAUCAAAAAACACAAGAGUAUCAUCCUUUAUGUUGUAUUUCUUAUUUUCUGAAGGAAAUGUUUGCUUUCCCAGAGUUGUCUUCAAGGAAAUGUGCAAGUUUUAUAGCUCAGAUUAGGUGUGUAUUUCUCUCUGUCGAGAUCCAAAGAAUCAAAGUGGUUUUGAUUUGCAGACCUAAGCCGCAGUGGCUAGAUCGGAUGUGGUUUUCAGCCAUGGAUCACGAAAUCUUGUUGGACAAAAAGGCCCAUAAAAUAUAAUUCUUAGCUAUACCAUAUGGGCCAUCUCGUAUUAAGAUUUCUUAACAAAGCUCUCUUUUUAAAAUGAAAAAUAAUAAAUUUGUGUCCCAACAUUUUUUUUUUUUUUUUGAACAAUUGAUAUUAUCUACAUUUUAAAGGAAGGAGGAUGGGCUUAGUCUCACAAUAGACGAUCAAUAAUGUGGUUCAAAUUCGUCUUUAGAGAGAAUCGAACUUAAAAUCUAUCACUUACCUACCACUAGACCGUACUUAUCAAAACAAAAAUAAAAUUUAAAUAUGGAGCAUCUAUUCGAUAACCAUUUAAUUUUUUUGUCAAGCUAGGUUCAGUUAACGAGAUUGAAAAGAAAAAGAAAACUAAUGAAAAUAACUUGAAAAUUUUGAGUUUUAACGAUAAGGACAAAAUAAAGGGUAAAGUGAAUAGUACCAGAAGCUUUUCGUUAAAGUUUCCAAAAAAAUAAGGCAAAUAUCGCCUUUUUUUCUUUCCAUUUUCCGUUGGGUUGGAUAUUUAUCAUUCCCAAAUUCCAGCCCACUGGACUUGAAAAUUAGUUCAUAGGUAUUAAAUUUACUAUUUCAAGACAAUUUACAUUUUUCAUUGAAGAUGCUCGUAGUAUGUAAAUUCAAAGACAUGUAACUCUCUAUUAGAACGAUGAAUAAAUUAAAGAAUGUAACUUUUUUACACAAGUAUAGUUGACUCCUUGUUCCUCCUAGAUCAUGAGCACCUGAACUAGGAAUUUCAAACAAUUUCUUAUUUUCUUAUCACUACCACAAUAUCGUAUAACACUAUCAGCUAGCUCUGCUGCAUUUGAACCCUAAAGACUAGAGUAGCUAGCUAGGACUAGGAGCUAGCACACCUUCAUUUGUUUUGCAUGGAAUAUUAAUGGCCUUCGCCGGGGCUUGGACCAGAAUUCUUGAUUCCCCAGAGGGAAAGAACAUCGGCAAAGUAAUUACCAACGCCGCCUCCGCUCUGACCGGCGGCCUUCCUUGGAUUGUGGUGCACCGGGUGGCUGUGACUGUGAUGAUGAAUCUGGUGAUGAACGGGAGAACCAUGCACGUCAAGAGGGCGGGCUUCGACUGCGGCAGAGAGCAAAAUGAAGCUCACCACAAGUAGGGCAACAAUGAAACGGUGGCGGCUAAUGAUUUCUCUGGCCAUGAUUUCUGGAGAAUAUUUGAGUCACUAGUUCUAAUGAGUCGAAUGAUUUUGUUU